rnacentral:rRNA from 1 species
GACGAACGCUGGCGGCGUGCUUAACACAUGCAAGUCGAGCGAGCAGAUCCCUUCGGGGUGAAGCUAGCGGCGGACGGGUGAGUAACACGUGGGCAACCUACCUCAUAGAGGGGAAUAGCCUUCCGAAAGGAAGAUUAAUACCGCAUAAGAUUGUAGCUUCGCAUGAAGCAGCAAUUAAAGGAGCAAUCCGCUAUGAGAUGGGCCCGCGGCGCAUUAGCUAGUUGGUGAGGUAACGGCUCACCAAGGCGACGAUGCGUAGCCGACCUGAGAGGGUGAUCGGCCGCAUUGGGACUGAGACACGGCCCAGACUCCUACGGGAGGCAGCAGUGGGGAAUAUUGCACAAUGGGGGAAACCCUGAUGCAGCAAUGCCGCGUGAGUGAUGACGGCCUUCGGGUUGUAAAGCUCUGUCUUCGGGGACGAUAAUGACGGUACCCGAGGAGGAAGCCACGGCUAACUACGUGCCAGCCGCCGCCGUAA